UUAACUCAAUUUUGUAUGGAGUUGAAACGUUUGCCUACGUUUGUCGCUAGGGGCUGCUCCAACUGUAUACAUAUUUGAGUUA
rnacentral:pre_miRNA from 1 species